AAGUAGUGUUUCACGUAAAAGCUGUAUUUUUAGGGCUUACGCGAUGGAACCUUGGGGCUGAUCGUAGAGAUAAAUAUUCAUGGAUUCAAGCCGUAAUUUUAGCUACCCUAACCGUCUGGCCGUCUGGCGAGACUCUUCCAAUUAGGUUUUCUAUUUUAGAAUGCACGCAGUGAGAUCGUAGUCGCGCGUGUGCCCUGCGCGUCCUCACAAUCAUCAAUAAUAGUUAAAUUUGAAUAAAAUAAACCAUAAACAAUAAAUCGGAACUAAUAUGGCGGCGUUCGGAAUUCGAAUUUUCCGCGUUCGGUCUUCUUCCGAGUUUUUUGUUUUUAAACAGUGCCGCGGCAAAGGUGUUCUAUUCGAUUUUGAUUGUGUUUUGUUUUUAAAAGGUUCCGCGGAGAAAGAGUCGUAAUAUUGUAUAAUUUUAGUGAGUUGUGAAGCAUUACGCAGUUGUGUAUUGUUGUUUGGUGCGUCAACAUCAUUGUUUGUUUGGAUGGCCGAUGAGGUCGAGUAAACCCGAUUCGAUUUGGAUCUGCCGAUUCGAAUUUAGAAAUCGAAAUCUAUUUGUACAGGGUAGCGAACGAUGCCAAUCUAAGGUUGAAGACUACGAAAUUUCGAAAAAAAAAAUGUAGGACGUGACUCCGGUUGUGAAGACACCAGGAAGAUGCUGAGAUGAGAGGGAAAGCCAGAGAGGCUAAGGAUAUGGUCCCGCAGGUCUAGAUGCAUCACCUAAGUGCAUGGAUGGAAAAACCAGUGACAGGGAUUCAUGAAAACAAGGUGGGGGUCAAAGAGAACAUGUUAUGGAAACAU